rnacentral:tRNA from 1 species
GGAGGGUACAGCUCAAGUGGUAGAGCGCGUGCUUAGCAUGCAUGAGGUCCUGGGUUCAGUCCCCAGCUCCUCCU